UAAAAAAUGAUAACAAAAGGAAUGGCAAAUCGACAAUACAAAAAAGUGCCAAACCAAGUUAUCCUGAAUUCCACAUCCUCGGGGAGGGCAAAGGUUCUAGAAUCUUGUAUGCUUCAAAUACUACAUAAUCUUGCUGAAACAGAAACA